ACUCAUACCUGGCAAGGGAGAUGCCAUUAUUGUAAAAGUGGUUUUCCCAGGGUAAGGCUCAUCUAUUGCACCUUGGAUGUGCUGAUCCCUAUGAUUUCCCCAAAUGUGGGGAAAUCAACUGCUUAAGGAC
rnacentral:snRNA from 1 species